CCCCCCCCCCCCCCCCCCUGUUGCCUCAAUUAUAACCGUAGGCCUUGUAUGACUAUCUCGUCUUUGCUUUCUUUGACUUGCUCUGGAUAUUGUCUAUUUUUUAGUUCAUAACAAUGUAGCUUUCGAGAAGGUUCAUUAUCGAAAAUUUACAGAUGUCACAAAAUAACAUAUAGCUAAAAGGCCCUCUGUUCCACAAACGAAGUUAUUUUCCUAUGGUUGCAUAGUGGACGCUCAGGUUAAAACUGUUGAUUGCAGAUGACCAUCAAUCCUCAAGUAAAAUGGUAUUCUGAUGAUGGUUCUGAAGGGUGGAGACUGCAACAAUGGAAAGUUGGAUGUAUUCGAAAAUUGGGCUUACAGGAGUUAGGAUCAUUCGCCCACAAACUAAAUGUCACAUAUACUACUAUUUGUAAACGUAGUAUCGUGCACUUCCUUUCCAUUCUUCGGCUCAAGUAUAGAGUGCUCUAUCCCAAGGAGAUGCUAUAGAUGAUAGAGAAACAGGUUGCAAA